rnacentral:rRNA from 1 species
AAAGAGUUCUAUAACUCCCAAACCCAUGUGAACAUACCUAACGUUGCCUCGGCAGGUCGCACCUACCUUGUAGCACCCUACCCUGUAGGGCCUACCCGGGAGAUGCGGGUAAGCCUGCCGGCGGCCCACCAAACUCUGUUUGAUAUUGAAUUCUGAACAUAUAACUAAAUAAGUUAAAACUUUCAACAACGGAUCUCUUGGUUCUGGCAUCGAUGAAGAACGCAGCGAAAUGCGAUAAGUAAUGUGAAUUGCAGAAUUCAGUGAAUCAUCGAAUCUUUGAACGCAUAUUGCGCCCAUUAGUAUUCUAGUGGGCAGGACCGUUCGAGCGUCAUUUCGACCCUUAAGCCUUAGUUGCUUAGUGUUGGGAGCCUACGGCAACGUAGCUCCUCAAAGUUAGUGGCGGAGUUGGUUCACACUCUAGACGUAGUAAUUUUUUAUCUCGCCUAUUAGUUGGACUGAUCCCCUGCCGUAAAACCCCCAACUUAUCAAGGUUGACCUCGAAUCGGUUCAGACAAACUCGCUAAAUUGAAGCAUCUUAGUCAGCGAAGGAAAAGAAACCAACAGGGAUUGCCCUAGUAACGGCGAGUGAAGCGGCAACAGCUCAAAUUUGAAAUCUGGC